GUUUCGUUUGAUCAGAAAAAGCGCAGAGAGGACUGCAAAAUUUACCCUUCUCAUCUCUCACAUGAACUCCUCCUCUGCUUCCGUAAUCCGACAAUGGCUGCCGCAGUUUCGACGGUGAAUCUCCUCCACCUGCCAGCUAAGUCUUCCGAGCUGCGGCUCUUCGUUGCCGGCGCAUACUCGAUUCUCCGCCUCAGAAGCUCAGGAUUGUGGUCGCCUGAGAGUCGAGUGGUGGCUACGAAGCUGCCGAGUAUUGAAGCCGUUAGGUGUUUGACGAAGCCUACGGAGGAGAGUGAGCCGGAGAAUUUUUCGAGUGAUGAGGAGGAGGUUAGGGAAGGUGAGAAUAAGAUGGAGUCGCAACAGGACUCCCUUGAUGCUACGGCUCGUCCUGAAUUCUCCAACGGUUCCGCCGUCUCGAAAACUCUCGCCGGAGAUUCUUUGUCCCUCGGCAUUCGUGAACCUGUUUACCAGGUAGUGGAAGUAAAGUCAAGUGGGAUGGUUUCAACUAGGAAAAUCAACAGACGGCACCUACUGAAAUCUAGUGGUCUCCGCCCUAGAGAUAUAAGAAGUGUUGAUCCAUCAUUGUGGUUAACAAAUUCCAUGCCAUCUUUACUGGUCCGCGAGCAUGCAAUUCUACUGAAUUUAGGCUCUUUACGGGCCAUAGUAAUGCAGGAAAGUGUUCUUAUAUUCAACUAUAACCGUACAGGAGGAAAAGCUUUCAUUGAUGCAUUGUUACCCCGGCUAAAUCCUAAAAACAUGAAUGGAGGCCCAUCAAUGCCAUUUGUGCUUGAGGUGGUAGAGGCAGCCUUGCAUUCACGGAUACAGAGAUUGGAGCAAAGACUAUGGGAUUUAGAACCUCGUGUGCAAGCUUUACUCGAGGUUUUGCCUAAUAGAUUGACUGCAGACGUGUUGGAGCAGCUCAGAAUUAGCAAACAAACAUUGGUUGAAUUGGAUUCUAGGGCAGGUGAUCUAAAGCAAAUGCUGCUUGAUAUUCUCGAGGAUACCCAUGAAAUACGUCGCAUCUGCAUCAUGGGUAGAAAUUGUACCCUGACGAAAGGAAAUGAUGAGAUGGAAUGUGCUGUUCCUCUUGAAAAGCAGAUUGCAGAGGGUACGGGAAUUCAGAAGAAGAGGAAGAAAUUGAAAUGCUUUUGGAGAACUAUCUUCAAAGAUGUGAAUCUUGUCAUGGUCAAGCAGAAAGGCUCCUUGAUUCUGCAAAAGAAAUGGAAGACUCAAUUGCUGUUAACCUAAGCUCAAGGAGGCUUGAGGUAAGCAGAGUGGAAUUACUACUGCAGGUUGGGGCAUUUUGUGUAGCUAUUGGUGCUCUGGUAUCAGGUAUAUUUGGCAUGAAUUUGAAGUCCUACCUUGAAGAACAUGCGUUUGCGUUUUGGCUGACAACAGCAGGGAUAAUGGUUGGCGCUGCUGUGACAUUUUUCCUCAUGUACAGAUAUCUGAGAAGAAGAAAGAUACUGUAAACACUAGCCAGUUUAUCAAGUGAAGUAUAGAAAUGAGGAGGUUUGGCUGCCAACUGCAUGUAAGGGCAUGAUUGCUGGUUAAAUCCUAGAGUUUGCAUUUACCAGAGUGUAUAGAUGAAACUCGCGGAGCAAUGUCUGAUCCAAGCAAAGGAUGCUGAUUGCUGAGCAUCGUUAACUUGGAUGUCGCAGAACUGCUCCCAAAGGAUUCCAAUGCUAAUUUAGCUUCAUUAUUAGGAGGGUGAUUUUCACUGCCUGCCACCCCCGACUAGCGUGCACUCCUGGGGAAGGAUAAACAGAGAACACUUGUAUUUUCAAUGUACAAGUUAGACAUCUGUUUUUUGAAAAAAAAAAUAAUAAUAAUUGAUAUUUCACAUUUC